rnacentral:lncRNA from 1 species
UUGAGACGUCCUCCUCAGCGCGCAGGCUUCACGGUACCAACCGUGCGGUAUCAUCGCUACAUGAUGAGUGCACUGCCCCAACCAUUGAAGCAUCACAAGGUGCUUGCCUGCCGCCGCCGCCGCUGAUACGUACACGAUUGCUGCCACACAACCAACACAUCACACCCAACAAUCACAACAACAAAACAACUGAGACCCGCCGCCGUGCAACGCACACUGUACACGCCCCAGGGCCGAGAACACAACGCAACACAAGCACCUGACAUGCCUCAUCCAGGCAUGCGUCACUCAAUCGCCCACCGAGCCGACCUCGCACACGCCGUUCGUGAGCCCCUGCGGCUGACAUGCCCGGCCCUGCCCCCUUGGCACCGCAGCCCUGCCGCCUUGGCACCGCCGCCCAUUGCCCCACCCCCAUGCUGCGUGCCAUGUAAGAAUAAAGCCAGGUCCCCAUCAAGCCGCAGCAUAUAUCCCCGCCAAGCCACCAGACUCCUCUUGCCGCACGCUACCAACCACCACCAGCACAGGACCGGCACCUGCCUGUCCCCCUGUUUAGUUUGGGCUGAUAUUUACAACCCCCCACCCUCCCCUCCCCACCUUCCCCAUUGCCAACCUCGCCCACCGCGCCGACAUGCACGCCGGCACCUCGCUCGUGCCUCUCGAGGCCUCCCAUCUUCCGUAGCUAGAGAUCCCUGUCCACGAGUAUCCACUUGGGCUCCAGCCCACUCCUGAUGCACACGCCGGCAUUACCCAGGUCUGCAUGGUUUGCAUGCCUGCCUGUCUACCGUGCACGCACACCUGCCUAGCUACGCAGACCUACUACCGUCCUUUUUGACCCGCCUCCGCCGCCACCGCCGCCGUCUCCUCCCUCUGGCCGCCGUGCCGGCCGCGCCAGCAGCUGCUGUUGUGGGUUGCCGCCAGAGCCGCCGCCGCCCUUGUUGCUGUUGGUGGUGGUGGUUGCGGGCUGGUGUGGCGCGGCCGUAGUGACAGCCGCAGCGCCGCCCACGGCACCCGCUGUCACUGUUUCCACCGCCACCGCCGGCUGCUGCAGCCGGCGCAGCAGGUAGGCCUCCUGCUCGGAAGGAGUCAGGAAGUCCCAUUCCCAGUACGGCACUAGUAGGACGCCGCCCUCCUUAAACGCCCGCCGCAGCUGCCGAAUGCGAAUGGCCGUACCCCCUUCCACAGCAGCGCUGGGGUCUUGCUGCUGCGUUUGUGUCAAGAGGUAACGUUUCGGUCCGAGGAACUCCACCGCCGCCUGCUGCCCGUCACUCAGCCGCACCACCGCAUCCACUGGCGCCAACACUCCUGGCGCGACAACGCCCGUCUGAAGGGACUGAACGGCUAGGCCCCCUGCUGCCUUGAGGCCCUGCUGCUCAAGCCGCCGCAGCGCUGCAACGACCUGCUUUUGAGUAUCUGAUGUGGGCUUGGCGUCUUCCCUCUCAGUAGUCACCGCCGCUGCCAUCGCCGCCUGCAGUCCGCUGCCGCUGCCCAGGGCCGCCGCCACCUCGCCGCCUAGCUCCUGCUGCGCCUGCCACAGCUGUUUGAGAUGCUCAGUUGUAAGACCCUCCCAACGGCUUACUGCUUCACGGGCCAGCUGAAUGGAUAGCUGCUUCAUGUCGGGAGAAUACGUGCCUCCGAACACAGCCAUGGCCCACAGGCUGUUGCAUACGUGCUGGUGCAGGACUGUGUCAGAGUCAUGCUGCAGCAGCUCGCCCAGCCGACCGCACACCGCCGCCUCCAAGCCAGCGUGCCGCAGCUGCAGCACCGCCAGCGCGUACAGCGUAUUGGCACAGUUCUGACCACCGGCACUACUGGCGCGCAUGGCUGCUACUGCUGCGCCCGAGUCAAGCAGCUCCGCCGGCGGCUGGUGGCGCAUCAACGCAAGCGCGUACAGCAGAUUGGACCAGGCCUGAGAUGUUGCGCGGGCCAUGGCGCCCGACUGCGUUGCUGCGUCCACCGCUGCUGAAACCCACUGCCGCUGCUCUGCCGGCGCCUCCGGGCCCGCCCCAAAUCCCAUCUUGGCUAGGGCCCACGCUGAGUUGCUGAGGUCCUGAGCGAUGUACCCGUCAAACCCCCGCCGCAUGUCCUCUUCGGCCACUGCCACCACCAGCUCUGCCUGCUCGCUGCAUAGCUGCAGCCCCUCCAGCGCCAGCAGGAUGUUGGAUAGCUGUUGCGGGAUAAAUGCUGCAGCGAGCUCCGGUUUCCGGAGCUGCUGCAGUGCCUCCCCGCACAGCGCCUCAACUGCUGACCGGUACUCUGGUCCUGUGCACCCCAGAGCUUUGAGAGCCCAUAGGCUGUUUGAAACAUCUUGCGGCUUGAAGCCGUGGCCCGCCACCGUUCUCAAGCGAGAAGCCACAGCUGCCGCCAAGGUCUGCAAGUGCGGAGAUGAGGUGGGGUCCCAGCCUGAGCCCCGCUGCUGCUGGUCUUGCUUGAGCUUGCCGAGCGCGUACAUGACAAUUGCGAGGUUCUGAGGUUCCGCCUUCCCAAGAACCUCAGGAUCCACUAGCCGCUCCAGCAGAGCUGCUGCAAGCUGAGCCUCCGUGCCGCCGCCGACCAAUCCAGCUUUGCCCAGCGCCCACAGCGGAAUGCUGCAGUUCUUUGCGUUGCGGAUGCGCGGCACGAGCGGCAGGUAGGCCGGCGCAAGCAUGCCGAUAAUGCUGCUGCGUGCUACAGCCGUUUGGCUUGCUCCAGCGCGCGACUCCAGCUGCGUUCAAAGCAGUUAUGAGGGACAUACAUGGGGUCAAGUGCUAUAUGCAUGUGUUUGUGCGUGUGCGUGAACAGGUGCGCAUGCAAGUCCUGUGUGGCCAUCUGCGUCGUGAGAACCGGAAGUCCGGGCCGAGAACGACAACAAUGGACUCGCCCUCCAUUCUGCACUUCAUUUCUGUGCCCAUUCCCACCUGCACGUAUUAGUCCUCCCUCUCACCUUGCCGCACAGGUUGAACGCCGCACACAUGGUAAUGAAGUCUUUUCGGCCCUCCCACACUGAUAGCCGCUGGCUGAUGAUUGCUUGCAGCUCCUCCAGAGUCCGACACACGGUCAUGUCAUCCGCGGGGUCACGCCCGCUGCCCCUGCUUCUGCCGCUGGCGCGGCUGCCAUCGCCUGCCCUGCCUCCGCCGCUUCCCCUACCCGCCGCCGCCUGCACUAUUGGCCGCCCGAGGCGGGAGCUACUGCUGCCGCAGAGCACUACCGCCGUCGAGACGCGCAGUGGGGAUGAGCUGCUACUGUUGAGUGCUGGGACAGAAGUAGCGGCGGCAGCGCGCGGUGAGCUGGGGCCGGUGUCGGCAGCGGUCCGAUGCAUGCCAUAAACGAACAGUCUUCUAAACGCGCACGCCGGUGGCGGUGCCUGGAGACGGGCUGAUAACGAUUGGCUACAGCCAUGUACGCUGUGCCUGUGCGCACCAGCGGGAGAGCCCGCGACGACGCGCAGGGCGAGCAUCUCGGGCCUCCUCACGGCGGCGACCUGAGCUAUAGCGACUCUAUCCGUCUACGUGUCUGAGCACUGCAAAUGCAUUAGGCUUGCAUUUGUGGGAGAAUAACGCAAGGAACGAAAGGUCAGGUGCGUGUAGGUCGCUGGGCCAAAGCCGCCUGAGUAGCUGUGGCUUGGUAUGGAUGAUAAAGCAACUGAAUCAAUUUGCCACCGGUGUUGAGGCGAGGGCGACCUGACCGCGAAAUACACGGCCCGAGGGCACGCCCCGUAUCAACACCCCUCGCGACCUCCAAACACGUGCACUGAACCGCGAAGCCCUCCCCCAAGCCUAUCGCGGCUGCUAUUCCCAUGUCCUCCUCCCCAACCAUUCUGCAUACAGGCUCUGGCGUGAGUCCCUGCCCGCGUCAUUUGACACCCGUCGACCACGACUGAGGUGCAACGCAUGUCGCUUACAAAUCCAACAUCCCGCCCGACACGAGAGGGGCAGAAACGGCGGGGCAGACGGCCAGCCUCUUGAACAUGAGCAUAGCAGUGCAAUAUCGCACAUUGGGUCCCCGCCUGCUUCACCUGGCCACCUUUGCUGAUUUGUCUGACAUCCCUGUCUACACACUUUUAUCCGCCCACGCUUGAGACGUCCUCCUCAGCGCGCAGGCUUCACGGUACCAACCGUGCGGUAUCAUCGCUACAUGAUGAGUGCACUGCCCCAACCAUUGAAGCAUCACAAGGUGCUUGCCUGCCGCCGCCGCCGCUGAUACGUACACGAUUGCUGCCACACAACCAACACAUCACACCCAACAAUCACAACAACAAAACAACUGAGACCCG